CACAUCACCACGCGCCUGGUGGAGAAAAAUAUGCGAUUAUAAUUAUGAAAACUUUUUCAUUAACUUUCCUUAAAACAAAAAUCUGAAGAAUUUCAUUUACGACCACAGUAAAAUAAAUACCUACAUCGGAAAAGUUCGACAAAUAAAGUACAGCCCCAAAGUAAACGCCGGCUGAUAAAAUCAGCGACGCCAGUUGUCGAGAGAUUUUGAUUAUUGCGGUGCCACAUGAAGAUUGCCGGAAGGGAAGAAAACAACAAUCAAACACAAAUGAUAUUGAGAACAAGCGAAGAUAAAGAGCGGAGCUUAAAGGAACUACAUCUAUUGGAAAGACUAAAGGUUCCAUGCAGAAUACCUACGCGGGGAUUUGGCAGUGAAUGUAAUACCGCCGUCGUCGCCGUCCCGUCUGACUUCCCGCUCUUCGCCGUCCUCCUGAAGUACCUCGUCGAUAUAAUCUGCGAAUGCGAUUCUGAAAUAUACUCCCUUAACCAAAGUUCUAAUAGUAUAAAAAUAAUUAAUUUCAUGUAAUAAGUGUUUCUACAUUUACAUGUACCAUGAAUUUAUCGCUACGUUAAUUUCUAUUUGUGGGAACUGAAGAGGUGUUCGAAAAUUAUAAUAUAUAAAUGUUAAUGAAUACUAAAAUAAAUUUUAAGUGCACCAACCAGUAAUUGUUGCCACUUAGACUACUACUAUUUUAAUUUUAAAGGUAAUUUCAUGUAUAGUGUUUGUAUUACCUAAUGUUUUAUAUAUCUAAUGUAACAAGAAGCAUAUGUGCUUGCAAAAAAAAAUAAAAAAAAUUAUGACUUUGGAAGGAGUUAAAGUAAAAAAAUAAACCAUAAAUAAAUACUUGAACCCACACGUGCAUGCGACUGACACUCGUAAUAAUAAAGAAUAAAUAAGUACCUAA